CCAGGGGUUUGCACCCCUGGCUAUUAUAUGCCGCCCUUUCAGGGCU
rnacentral:sRNA from 1 species